AAUAAUUUUUUAACCAGGGGCCACCUUUUUUAUUCUGGGCCCCACUAAUUCUGCAGCCUAUCACGAUCCCAUUUUACAGAUGACAAAACUGUGGCCUCAGAGCCUUACUCAAGCUCCCAGAGCAAGGUACUACAGAGUUCUCUCUCCAGCCAAGGCAGGCUAACCAGGUCCUGACAUACCUCUGAGCCAGCCCUCACUUUCACCCAUUAACAGCAGGAUAAGGAUCGCCCCUGUAGAACAUGAUUCCUACAGGGAGCCAGGAUCGCUGUUGUCAUUUAAUGUUUGAACACCAGCCGGGGAGGCCCCCAAGGCCUUCAGAUCGGGUCCAAGUCUCAGGGGUGGGCCCUUGACCAGCCACUGCUUCCCACAGGACAACUCAAACUUAUACAUGGUCAUGGAGUACGUGCCCGGCGGGGAGAUGUUCUCACACCUACGGCGGAUCGGAAGGUUCAGCGAGCCCCAUGCCCGUUUCUACGCGGCCCAGAUCGUCCUGACCUUUGAGUAUCUGCACUCGCUGGAUCUCAUCUACAGGGACCUGAAGCCGGAGAAUCUGCUCAUUGACCAGCAGGGCUACAUUCAGGUGACAGACUUCGGUUUCGCCAAGCGCGUGAAGGGCCGCACUUGGACCUUGUGCGGCACCCCUGAGUACCUGGCCCCUGAGAUUAUCCUGAGCAAAGGCUACAACAAGGCCGUGGACUGGUGGGCCCUGGGGGUUCUUAUCUAUGAAAUGGCCGCUGGCUACCCGCCCUUCUUCGCAGACCAGCCCAUCCAGAUCUAUGAGAAGAUCGUCUCUGGGAAGGUGCGGUUCCCUUCCCACUUCAGCUCUGACUUGAAGGACCUGCUGCGGAACCUCCUGCAGGUAGAUCUCACCAAGCGCUUUGGGAACCUCAAGAAUGGGGUCAACGAUAUCAAGAACCACAAGUGGUUUGCCACAACUGACUG
rnacentral:sRNA from 1 species